GAUGAACGCUGGCGGCGUGCCUAAUACAUGCAAGUCGAGCGAACAGACGAGGAGCUUGCUCCUCUGACGUUAGCGGCGGACGGGUGAGUAACACGUGGAUAACCUACCUAUAAGACUGGGAUAACUUCGGGAAACCGGAGCUAAUACCGGAUAAUAUAUUGAACCGCAUGGUUCAAUAGUGAAAGACGGUUUUGCUGUCACUUAUAGAUGGAUCCGCGCCGCAUUAGCUAGUUGGUAAGGUAACGGCCUACCAAGGCAACGAUGCGUAGCCGACCUGAGAGGGUGGUCGGCCACACUGGAACUGAGACACGGUCCAGACUACUAAGGGAGGCAGCAGUAGGGAAUCUGCCGCAAUGGGCGAAAGCAUGACGGAGCAACGCCGCGUGAGUGAUGAAGGUCUUCGGAUCGUAAAACUCUGUUAUUAGGGAAGAACAAAUGUGUAAGUAACUAUGCACGUCUUGACGGUACCUAAUCAGAAAGCCACGGCUAACUACGUG
rnacentral:rRNA from 1 species